UACGUAGGGCGCAAGCGUUAUCCGGAAUUAUUGGGCGUAAAGAGCUCGUAGGCGGUUUGUCGCGUCUGCCGUGAAAAGUCCGAGGCUCAACCUCGGAUCUGCGGUGGGUACGGGGCAGACUAGAGUGAUGUAGGGGGAGACUGGAAAUUCCUGGUGUAGCGGUGAAAAUGCGCAGAUAUCAGGAGGAACACCGAUGGCGAAGGCAGGUCUCUGGGCAUUAACUGACGCUGAGGAGCGAAAAGCAUGGGGAGCGAACAGG
rnacentral:rRNA from 1 species